rnacentral:rRNA from 1 species
GACGAACGCUGGCGGCGUGCUUAACACAUGCAAGUCGAACGAAAAGAGGGAAAGAGCUUGCUCUUUCCGGAAUUGAGUGGCAAACGGGUGAGUAACACGUAAACAACCUGCCUUCAGGAUGGGGACAACAGACGGAAACGACUGCUAAUACCGAAUAAGUUCCAAGGGCCGCAUGGCCCAUGGAAGAAAAGGUGGCCUCUACCUGUCAGCUAUCGCCUGAAGAGGGGUUUGCGUCUGAUUAGCUGGUUGGAGGGGUAACGGCCCACCAAGGCGACGAUCAGUAGCCGGUCUGAGAGGAUGAACGGCCACACUGGGACUGAGACACGGUCCAGACUCCUACGGGAGGCAGCAGUGGGGAAUCUUCCGCAAUGGGCGAAAGCCUGACGGAGCAACGCCGCGUGAGUGAUGACGGCCUUCGGGUUGUAAAACUCUGUGAUCCGGGACGAAAAGGCAGAGUGCGAAGAACAAACUGCAUUGACGGUACCGGAAAAGCAAGCCACGGCUAACUACGUG